AAUAAAAAUAAAGUGCAUUAAAAUAUAUACAGAUAUAUUUAAACUUUUUCUUAUUUCAUGUUAUUAAGUUUCCAAGAAAAAGGAUGCAACAAUAUAUAGGCAUACAAUCCAUAAGAUUAAUUAUUAGUUAUCUAGGUGCUCCCAAAAAUCGUCACAGUCCUAUCACGGAGCACCGCGGGAGAGCAUUUAACUAGAAGUUCACGCCUCCUUUCUUAUCGAUGUCGCUUAUUGGGAUAGAGCCGGCGUCAAACCUCGGUCCUUUGGGUUCUUAGCCAGAACUGUAACUACUGUGCCACGGCUGCUAUAAUUUAAAUGUUAAUAAAUAUUGAUUUCAUA